AAAAACUAUAUCAAAUGAAACCUCAGCGAAAUAAUGCCUAAAAUGAAAAAUAUCACGUGUGAGUAAAACGUAAAGCGAGUGAGGGGAAGAUUGGAAAUGUAUUAUUAAUUUUUUAAAUUAUAAAACAAAAUGUGAAAUAGAAAGAGAGAUUGGAAGGGGCAAACGAGUUAGAUUCGGUCUCAUAACAUAAAGGCAUGGGCAAAGAGCCAAGACUGCCUCGUGCACUGGCGUAUGUGGCGUAUUCUUAUUGGGACACGUGUGAGUCACAGUCUUCUCAGUCUUUUGGAUUGUUGUUUGCUGCCUGGGGAACAGAUUUAUAUGCACCAAAACCUAAGCUUGUCUCCAUCUAUUUAGUAUUUACAUGUAUAUUUUCUUCUUUCCUUUUUUUUUUUUUUAAGUUUGUGGGCUUACUUAAGAAUUAUUUUACUAAUUUUUCAAGUUAUUAUUAUUUUUUGGAAUGAACUAAAUUUUCAAGUUAUUGAUAUACAUCAUUAUCACAACAAAAAAAAAAAAAAGAAAAAAAGUUAAUGGUGUACA
rnacentral:lncRNA from 1 species